UACGGAGGGGGCUAGCGUUGUUCGGAAUUACUGGGCGUAAAGCGCACGUAGGCGGCUUUGUAAGUUAGAGGUGAAAGCCCGGGGCUCAACUCCGGAAUUGCCUUUAAGACUGCAUCGCUAGAAUUGUGGAGAGGUAAGUGGAAUUCCGAGUGUAGAGGUGAAAUUCGUAGAUAUUCGGAAGAACACCAGUGGCGAAGGCGGCUCACUGGCCCGUAACUGACGCUGAGGUGCGAAAGCGUGGGGAGCAAACAGG
rnacentral:rRNA from 1 species